rnacentral:misc_RNA from 1 species
GGGUAUGGCCUUUUGUUGGCUGUAUAAUCUUGCUUAAAACCCUAAAACCCCAUCUGGUUGUAUAAAGAUAAUAAGUGAACUGUAUUCUUGAGUUCAAGCAUACUCUUCGUGCUUUCUCUGUCACUUUCCAUGUUCCUGAUUUNNCGGUUCCCUUGGUCUCAAUUCUUUUUUCUGUUCAAUGUUCAGUCUUAUUUCUUAGUCACGGA